rnacentral:rRNA from 1 species
UACGUAGGUGGCAAGCGUUAUCCGGAUUUAUUGGGUUUAAAGGGUGCGUAGGCGGUUUUAUAAGUUAGAGGUGAAAAUUCGGGGCUCAACUCCGGACGUGCCUCUAAUACUGUAUGACUAGAGAAUAGAUGCGGUAGGCGGAAUGUAUGGUGUAGCGGUGAAAUGCGUAGAGAUCAUACAGAACACCGAUUGCGAAGGCAGCUUACAAAUCUAUAUCGGACGCUGAGGCACGAAAGCGUGGGUAUCGAACAGG